AACGAACGCUGGCGGCAUGCCUUAUACAUGCAAGUCGAACGAGAAAGUCACUUCGGUGGCGAGUACAGUGGCGCACGGGUGAGUAACGCGUAGAUGAUCUACCCUUCAGUCUGGGACAACUCUUGGAAACGGGAGCUAAUACCGGAUAAAAACCUUCGGGUUGAAAGAUUUAUCGCUGGGGGAUGAGUCUGCGUACCAUUAGCUUGUUGGUGGGGUAACGGCCUACCAAGGCGACGAUGGUUAGCGGGUCUGAGAGGACGAUCCGCCACACUGGAACUGAGACACGGUCCAGACUCCUACGGGAGGCAGCAGUAGGGAAUAUUGCGCAAUGGGGGCAACCCUGACGCAGCAAUGCCGCGUGAGUGAAGAAGGCCUUCGGGUCGUAAAGCUCUUUUAUGGGGGAAGAUGAUGACGGUACCCCAUGAAUAAGCACCGGCUAACUACGUG
rnacentral:rRNA from 1 species